rnacentral:rRNA from 1 species
UACGUAGGGGGCAAGUCGUUGUCCGGAAUCAUUGGGCGUAAAGAGCGCGCAGGCGGUCGUUCAAGUCGAGUGUGAAAGCCCCCGGCUCAACUGGGGAGGGUCAUUCGAUACUGAUCGACUUGAAGGCAGGAGAGGGAAGCGGAAUUCCCGGUGUAGUGGUGAAAUGCGUAGAUAUCGGGAGGAACACCAGUGGCGAAGGCGGGUCUCUGGACAGUUCCUGACACUGAGGCACGAAGGCCAGGGGAGCAAACGGGAUAGAAACC